UCAGAAUUUUUUGGUUGUCACGGGGAAUGGUAUAAGUUUCGUGGUCCUGUCAGGUACGUCUUAGUAUAGGUCUAACUGUGCAACGUUCAGCCAAACGCUAUUACAACUUAUCCGCCCUUCGAGUACGCUGAAGAAAACUCUGUCCUCAGACCCAUCACCAUCAUGUUUCAAGCCAGACUCUUCAUUAUCCUCGCUGUCUCAUGCUUAGUGGUUCUCUCUCUUGUAAGCGACACCCACGCACAGGGACUUCGAUGGGGAAGAACCAUGCAAGGUGAAUCGAAUGGUAUUAUGAACGAAAGAGGGGUACCAAACGAACGGAAUUCUGGGAACUAUUGGGAAGACAUCUUUCCUCAGCGGGUUCUGAGGAAACGAUCUCUCACCAAGAAAAAUGCCGACAAUUAAGCUGAACACAAUAUACCAGGGGAUCAUCGCCAAACAGCACAGCUAAUCUAGCAGCUACAAGCCUCCAUCGUGUUAUUUCUCUUCCAGAGUAGGAGUUGUCACACAAUGUCAUAGUGUACUGGGGUUAACAUUUAGUUACCUUAACUGUAGUGCUGCGUCGUACAUAAAUAAACAAUGGAUACAGAAAUGCGAUUCAUUGAGUAGAAUGAUGAUGGAUUAGUAGGAAAAUAAAAUGGGAUAAACGAAGAA